AGUGAAGUAUUUUAAGUUAAAAAUAUUAUCUUGCAAAGAUAAAGUUGCCUGUUAGGGUCGUCACUU
rnacentral:tRNA from 1 species